GACUCAAGGUGGCUCACAAGUAAAAACAUCGCAAUUACAACUUCAAAUAUACAAAUAUACAAGUAUUAAAACUAUUAAACAUCAUUAAAAACAUAAAAUUACAGCAGCUCCUUACGAUCUUAAUAACCUUCUUUAAAAGCCUGCCUGAAUAAAAAGGUUUUAGCCUGCCACCUGAAGGACAGCAAGGUGGGGGCCAUUCUGGCUUCCCUGGGAAGAAGGGAAUUCCAAAAUUGAGAGGCAACCAUUGAGAAGAAAGGCCCUCUCUCUCGUUCGCACCAACCGGGCUUGAGAUGGAGUUGGGAUCGAGAGAAGGGCCUCUCCUGAAGAUCUCUGGGCCUGGGCAGGAUGAAGAGAAUGCAUUUUCAGCAGACGACACGAAGCAUGCACAAAACUCCCAUCACUUCCCUCUAGAAGAGUUAAUUGCUACAAGAGGAGAUCAAAACCAAGUGAUCUGGAUUUAGUUAACUUGAGAGCAACGGGAUAUUAUGUAUUAUAGUUGAAAAUAAUAAAAUGAAAUUCAGCAGAGCAAAGCAUUAAGUAUGACACAUUGGGGGGAAAAGAACACAAAUGUAUAAUUACCAAACUGGGG
rnacentral:lncRNA from 11 species